GCCCGCCGCCUCCUGGGGCCGCUCUCCACUGCGAGUCCGCCGGGACUAACCGGGCGUUUGCGAGAGGGGGUGCGUCCAAGGGCCCCUCCCGCGUGUCCGGCGCCCACCUUUGGCCCUGAGGGCCGAGUGGGGAGCCCCACGACGCUAUUACAGCCUUUCAGAUGCACGGACUGGGAAACUGGGGCUCAGAGAAGUCAAGUGGCUCGCCCAAGGUCACCCAGCGAGUGAUCCUGGGAAGAGGGGACAAGGGCCGAGCUGGAGCUGGGAAGGGCGCCCCAGUUCGCCCCAGUCGCGCUCUGAGGAAUAGCAGCGGGACCGCCCUGCUCUCUAAAGCUUCCUGGACUUCUCUAAGUUAUGUCGCGUUGCUGUCCCCUCGUACUUAUAAGAGAGUAAGGCAGGGGCGCCGUCCUUUCUCCGCGCCUGAGCUCAGAGCGCCAACCUCCUGAGAUCCGCCAGCUCAGAGGUCGGUUACAUAAAAGCGCGUGCCCUUCUGGGCGUCUUUGUCAUCCCGACUUGCUCCUGGGUUGUCAUUCUCUUAGGUCAUAAACCGGCUGUGCCUGGACACAGCUGAGUGAGCCGCGUCUGAGCUCAUCCGCUCCUGGGGAGAGGCCCUGGGACGCCCCGCCUGUCGGUGGCAAUGCUCUCUGUCCCCUUCCGCCCACCCCCAACCCCCAGCAAAUGCUCUCCAAGGCCAUUUCAGAUUUCCCGAGGCAUGUGGAAUAAACGUCCCCCAGGAAGGCGAAGGACUCCAGUCCUUGCCCUGCCAUUUUUCCUGCCUUCAAACAGCCAGCUCAAGUCCCGGCCUCAAUGUCACCUUCCCUGGACAGCCUCUCAGGACCUCCCUGGCAAAGCAAGUCACAAGUCCCUUCUCUGUGUCCCCCCAGCUUGGUCAGAGGUCAUUCACAGACAGCUGUAAUUCUGUUUUCAGUAGACCAUGAGCAUCAGGGACAGAGUUUGAGUUUUGUUUUUGAGGGGGAAGGUCACCAGUGUGUAGUACAGGGGGCAGGGAUGGAGGGUACUGGAAAUGUCUCUUGGAGGAAUAAGUCAGUGGCAUACCACUCUCAGC
rnacentral:lncRNA from 10 species